rnacentral:rRNA from 1 species
UACGUAGGGCGCGAGCGUUGUCCGGAAUUAUUGGGCGUAAAGAGCUCGUAGGCGGCCUGUUGCGUCGGAUGUGAAAGCCCGGGGCUUAACUCCGGGUCUGCAUUCGAUACGGGCAGGCUAGAGUUCGGUAGGGGAGAUCGGAAUUCCUGGUGUAGCGGUGAAAUGCGCAGAUAUCAGGAGGAACACCGGUGGCGAAGGCGGAUCUCUGGGCCGAUACUGACGCUGAGGAGCGAAAGCGUGGGGAGCGAACAGG